rnacentral:ncRNA from 16 species
CCAACGGCCCUCUUUAGGGCCACAAAUAUGUACAAUAUCCUGGAAU